UGGGGAAUAUUGCACAAUGGGCGAAAGCCUGAUGCAGCAACGCCGCGUGAGCGAAGAAGGUCUUCGGAUCGUAAAGCUCUGUCCUUGGGGAAGAUAAUGACGGUACCCUUGGAGGAAGCCACGGCUAACUACGUGCCAGCAGCCGCGGUAAUACGUAGGUGGCAAGCGUUGUCCGGAAUUACUGGGUGUAAAGGGAGCGCAGGCGGGAGCGCAAGUUGGAUGUGAAAUACCGCAGCUUAACUGCGGAGCUGCAUCCAAAACUGUGUUUCUUGAGUGAAGUAGAGGUAGGCGGAAUUCCGAGUGUAGCGGUGAAAUGCGUAGAUAUUCGGAGGAACACCGGUGGCGAAGGCGGCCUACUGGGCUUUUACUGACGCUGAGGCUCGAAAGUGUGGGGAGCAAACAGGAUUAGAUACCCUGGUAGU
rnacentral:rRNA from 1 species